UUACGGCUAUAUCAGAUUGAAACACCGCUUCUUGUACGAUCACUGAAGUUAAGCAACUGCGAGCUUGCUCAGUAUCUUGAUUAGUGACCGCCUGGGAAUACAAGGUGUUGUAA